rfam:SAR116 cluster alpha proteobacterium HIMB100 contig8, whole genome shotgun sequence.
AUGGCAGAUGCCAAGAUGCCGGAUGCGCAAUCAGGCUAUGAGAAAGGCUCCACCCUUGUUAUGGCCGGCCUGUCAGGGCUGAAUAUGGUGUAUGAGGCAG